GCCUCGGUGGUGUAGUGGUAGAGCACGCGUCCUCGAUAUGGAUGGAACGCGGGUUCGAUUUACGACAGAGACC